AACGAACGCUGGCGGCAGGCUUAACACAUGCAAGUCGAACGCAUCCUUCGGGGUGAGUGGCAGACGGGUGAGUAUCGCGUGGGAACGUGCCCUUCAGUUCGGGAUAACCCAGGGAAACUUGGGCUAAUACCGGAUACGUGCGAGAGCAGAAAGAUUUAUCGCUGAAGGAUCGGCCCGCGUCUGAUUAGCUAGUUGGUAGGGUAAUGGCCCACCAAGGCGACGAUCAGUAGCGGGUCUGAGAGGGUGAUCAGCCACAUUGGGACUGAGACACGGCCCAAACUCCUACGGGAGGCAGCAGUGGGGAAUAUUGGACAAUGGGCGCAAGCCUGAUCCAGCCAUGCCGCGUGAGUGAUGAAGGCCUUAGGGUUGUAAAGCUCUUUCGUCCGGGACGAUAAUGACGGUACCGGAAGAAGAAGCCCCGGCUAACUUCGUGCCAGCCGCCGCAGUAA
rnacentral:rRNA from 1 species